UACGGAGGGGGCAAGCGUUGUUCGGAUUUACUGGGCGUAAAGGGCGCGUAGGCGGCGUGACAAGUCACUUGUGAAAUCUCCGGGCUUAACUCGGAAUGGUCAAGUGAUACUGUUGUGCUAGAGUGCAGAAGGGGCAAUCGGAAUUCUUGGUGUAGCGGUGAAAUGCGUAGAUAUCUGGAGGAACACCGGUGGCGAAGGCGGCAUCCUGGACCGGCAUUGACGCUGAGGAGCGAAAGCCAGGGGAGCAAACGGG
rnacentral:rRNA from 1 species